AAAUGAAAAAAAAAAGAAAAGAAAAAAAAAGAAAAAAAGGGCCCUUGUUUCAAU
rnacentral:ribozyme from 14 species